rnacentral:rRNA from 1 species
UACGUAGGGGGCUAGCGUUGUCCGGAAUCAUUGGGCGUAAAGAGCGCGUAGGCGGCCAGAUAAGUCCGGUGUGAAAGUCACAGGCUCAACCUGUGAAUGCCGCUGGAAACUGUCUGGCUAGAGUCCGGAAGGGGCGAGUGGAAUUCCUGGUGUAGCGGUGAAAUGCGCAGAUAUCAGGAGGAACACCAAUGGCGAAGGCAGCUCGCUGGGCCGAUACUGACGCUGAGGAGCGAAAGCGUGGGGAGCGAACAGG